UACGUAGGGUGCGAGCGUUAAUCGGAAUUACUGGGCGUAAAGCGUGCGCAGGCGGUUGGCAAAGUCAGCUGUGAAAGCCCCGAGCUCAACUUGGGAAUGGCAUUGGAAACUGGCGGGCUGGAGUGUGGCAGAGGGGGGGUGGAAUUCCACGUGUAGCAGUGAAAUGCGUAGAGAUGUGGAGGAACACCGAUGGCGAAGGCAGCCCCCUGGGCCAACACUGACGCUCAGGCACGAAAGCGUGGGGAGCAAACGGG
rnacentral:rRNA from 1 species